rnacentral:misc_RNA from 1 species
AUUAUUUAGGAUAAUGUCAUAGCUAAUUAUUGUUUUAGGGUUAUACUAUAUGAGCAUGGUACAGCCAUAACACUGGGUGGUUUUAUGUUUUCUUAAUUUGAUGGAUGCGAGUAACAGUAUCAUUGCUGACCUUCCUGUAUUCUUCUCCAAGGGAAUGGUGGACCUGUGUAUUUCACUUGAACUCAAUUUCUACUUGGGUUUAAAUGUCUAUCAAAUAGUGACAUCGUUUCUAAAGGUUAUAUCUGAUUAGCACUGGGG